rnacentral:rRNA from 1 species
GUCUAUGACCAGACCACCCUGAGUGAGCCCAAUCUUAUCUGAUCUCAGAAACUAUGCAAGUUUGGGCUUGGUUAGUAUUUGGAUGAGGGAAAGAUAAGUCAUGAAAUUAAAAAUA